rnacentral:pre_miRNA from 1 species
CUCACAAAGUGGGUGUGUAUAUGUUAGUAGAAUUUCAUAUCACAGCCAGCUUUGAUGAGCG